rnacentral:rRNA from 1 species
GACGAACGCUGGCGGCGUGCUUAACACAUGCAAGUCGAACGGAAAGGCCUGCUUUCCCUUGUGGAUUGCGGGUACUCGAGUGGCGAACGGGUGAGUAACACGUGAGUGAUCUGCCCCCAACUUGGGUAUAAGCCUGGGAAACUGGGUCUAAUUCCCGAUAGGACUGCAGGGUGGUGCCUGUGGUGGAAAACGAUUUUCUAGUGGUUGGGGAUGAGCUCGCGGCCUAUCAGCUUGUUGGUGGGGUAAUGGCCUACCAAGGCGGCGACGGGUAGCCGGCCUGAGAGGGUGGACGGCAACAUUGGAACUGAGAUACGGCCAAGACUCCUCCGGGAGGCAGCAGUGGGGAAUAUUGCCCAAUGGGCGGAAGCCUGAUGCAGCGACGCCGCGUGGGGGAUGACGGCCUUCGGGUUGUAAACUCCUUUCGACCGCGAGGAAGCCACCUGGUUGGAAGGGUGGUGACGGUAGUGGUAGAAGAAGCACCGGCUAACUACGUG